rnacentral:rRNA from 1 species
AGAGUUUGAUCCUGGCUCAGGAUGAACGCUAGCAGAACGCCUAACACAUGCAAGUCGAACGCCCCGGUACUUGUACCGGGGAGUGGCAGACGGGCGAGUAACGCGUACUUAACCUGCCCUCGAGACGAGAACAACUAUGGAGACAUAGCUAAUUCUCGAUAUGCUCACGAUGGUGAAAUCCCAAUGUGAGGAAAGAUUUAUCGCUCGGGGAGGGGGGUGCGUCCUACCAGGUUGUUGGUGAGGUAACGGCUCACCAAGCCCCUGACGGGUAGCCGGUUUGAGAUGAUGAUCGGCCGCGAUGGGACUGAGACACGGCCCAUACUCCUACGGGAGGCAGCAGUGGGGAAUAUUGCACAAUGGACGAAAGUCUGAUGCAGCGAUUCUGCGUGGAGGAUGAAGCAUUACGGUGUGUAAACUCCUUUUUUGGUAGAAGACGAAUGACGGUAUACCAAGAAUAAGGGACGGCUAACUAUGUGCCAGCAGCCGCGGUAAUACAUAGGUCCCAAGCGUUAUCCGGAUUUACUGGGCGUAAAGUGUCCGUAGCCUGACAUAUAAGUCUGUUUUCAAAUCCUAUGGCUCAACCAUAGAUCGGGAAUAGAUACUGCAUGUCUGGAAGUUAUUGGGGGUUAGUGGAAUUUCAGGUGGAGCGGUGGAAUGCGUUGAUAUCUGAAAGAACGCCGAAAGCGAAAGCAGCUAACUACAGUAAACUUGACGGUAAGGGACGAAAGCUUGGGGAGCGAACGGGAUUAGAUACCCCGGUAGUCCAAGCUGUAAAUUAUGCUUGCUAGAUGUUUUGGACCCUCGUGGUCUGGAGUGUCGCAAUCUAACGAGUUAAGCAAGCCGCCUGGGUAGUAUAUUCGCAAGAAUGAAACUCAAAGGGAUAGGCGGGGGAACAAGGGCGAAUUCG